rnacentral:lncRNA from 1 species
UGACAAUCACAGAAGUGUUCUAAGAACAUCAAACUGUCAGUGGUACGUAGUAUGAACUAGAAGAAGAUGGAUCUUGAAGAAGAAAAAAGAUCAAGUGAGUAUAUACAAACUGGCUUCACUUCAUUUUUUUCAUCUUCCAACUUCUCCAUAAUAAUAUUUACUUUUAAAAAUGUUCUUAACAAUGAAUAUGACCAAGACAAUUUGAGGAAACCAAUCAUAAACUUUGUGUCAAUAUAGUAAGCAUGUUUCCUGCAGGGAGAUACCACUGUUCCCACUAAAAUAGAACACAACAAAAGGAGGCAGGAGAGAAAUGAAUGACUUAGGACCUGUCUAGGUUGAAAAGGCAAACUAGAAAUGGGGCACACCUAAGUUGUUUAAAAAGACUUUGUCAACUAUUAUUCGUGUACUCUUGGCAUUUCUGUGUUCUCCUCGUUCCUAUUUCAUUCCUAUUCCCCUUUAAUAUUUCCUUUACAUACCUGAUACCUUCCCUCCCAAAAAUGGUGUGUGUCUAUGUAGUUCCUUGAUGAUUUUGUCAAUGAAUAAUAAACCUUGGGUUUUGGAUAAGGAGGUGAAAAGAAAGGGCUCUGCUUGAUUCU